UCCCUGGUAGGUCAGAUGGUAAAUAAUCUGCCUGCAAUGCAGGAGACCCGGGUUCGAUCCCUGGGUCAGGGAA
rfam:TPA: Bos taurus chromosome 29, whole genome shotgun sequence.